UACAGAGGGUGCGAGCGUUAAUCGGAAUUACUGGGCGUAAAGCGUGCGCAGGCGGUUUGUUAAGUCUGCUGUGAAAUCCCCGAGCUCAACUUGGGAAUUGCAGUGGAUACUGGCAAGCUGGAGUACGGUAGAGGAAGGUGGAAUUCCCGGUGUAGCAGUGAAAUGCGUAGAGAUCGGGAGGAACACCAGUGGCGAAGGCGGCCUUCUGGACCAGUACUGACGCUCAUGCACGAAAGCUAGGGGAGCAAACAGG
rnacentral:rRNA from 1 species